rnacentral:misc_RNA from 1 species
GAUGAAGAACGUAGCGAAAUGCGAUAAGUAAUGUGAAUUGCAGAAUUCAGUGAAUCAUCGAAUCUUUGAACGCACAUUGCGCCCCCUGGUAUUCCGGGGGGCAUGCCUGUUCGAGCGUCAUUUCACCACUCAAGCCUCGCUUGGUAUUGGGCGACGCGGUCCGCCGCGCGCCUCAAAUCGACCGGCUGGGUCUUUCGUCCCCUCAGCGUUGUGGAAACUAUUCGCUAAAGGGUGCCGCGGGAGGCCACGCCGUAAAACAACCCCAUUUCUAAGGUUGACCUCGGAUCAGGUAGGGAUGCCCGCUGAACUUAAGCAUAUCAAUAAGCGGAGGA